rnacentral:rRNA from 1 species
CAGUCGCCGCGGUAAUACAGAGGGUGCGAGCGUUAAUCGGAUUUACUGGGCGUAAAGCGUGCGUAGGCGGCUUUUUAAGUCGGAUGUGAAAUCCCUGAGCUUAACUUAGAAAUUGCAUUCGAUACUGGGAAGCUAGAGUAUGGGAGAGGAUGGUAGAAUUCCAGGUGUAGCGGUGAAAUGCGUAGAGAUCUGGAGGAAUACCGAUGGCGAAGGCAGCCAUCUGGCCUAAUACUGACGCUGAGGUACGAAAGCAUGGGGAGCAAACAGGAUUAGAUACCCCGGUAGUCCCUGUCUCUUAUAC